GAUGAAGAAUGCAGCGAAAUGCGAUAAGUAAUGUGAAUUGCAGAAUUCAGUGAAUCAUCGAAUCUUUUAACGCACCUUGCGCUCCUUGGUAUUCCGAGGAGCAUGCCUGUUUGAGUGUCAUGAAAUUCUCAACCUUUUCAGCUUUCUUUGUUGAUCAGGCUUGGAUGUGGGAGUAUGCGGGCUUCUCAGAAGUCGGCUCUCCUGAAAUGCAUUAGCGGGACCUUUGUUGCCUGGCUUUGGUGUGAUAAUUAUCUACGCCAUUGUAGUCAAGCAGCUUAAAAUGAGGUUUCAGCUUCUAACCGUCUCCCCUGAGACAACUUUUUGACAAUUUGACCUCAAAUCAGGUAGGACUACCCGCUGAACUUAAGCAUAUCAAUAAGCGGAGGA
rnacentral:misc_RNA from 1 species